rnacentral:rRNA from 1 species
UAGGUUAUGUGCCCUUUAGUCUGGGAUACCCACUGGAAACGGUGAUUAAUACUGGAUACUCCCUACGGGGGAAAGUUUUUCGCUAAAGGAUCAGCCUAUGUCCUAUCAGCUUGUUGGUGAGGUAAUGGCUCACCAAGGCUAUGACGGGUAUCCGGCCUGAGAGGGUGAUCGGACACACUGGAACUGAGACACGGUCCAUACUCCUACGGGAGGCAGCAGUAGGGAAUAUUGCUCAAUGGGGGAAACCCUGAAGCAGCAACGCCGCGUGGAGGAUGAAGGUUUUAGGAUUGUAAACUCCUUUUGUUAGAGAAGAUUAUGACGGUAUCUAACGAAUAAGCACCGGCUAACUCCGUGCCAGCAGCCGCGGUAAUACGGAGGGUGCAAGCGUUACUCGGAAUCACUGGGCGUAAAGAGUGCGUAGGCGGGGUAAUAAGUCAGAUGUGAAAUCCUGUAGCUUAACUACAGAACUGCAUUUGAAACUGUUACUCUGGAGUGUGGGAGAGGUAGGUGGAAUUCUUGGUGUAGGGGUAAAAUCCGUAGAGAUCAAGAGGAAUACUCAUUGCGAAGGCGACCUGCUGGAACAUUACUGACGCUGAUGCACGAAAGCGUGGGGAGCAAACAUGAUUAGAUACCCUGGUAGUCCACGCCCUAAACGAUGGAUGCUAGUUGUUGCCUUGCUUGUCAGGGCAGUAAUGCAACUAA